rnacentral:rRNA from 1 species
GUCGAACGCUGGCGGCGUGCCUAAUACAUGCAAGUCGAACGCAGUGGGGACGGGUGAGUAACACGUGGGUAACCUCCCAUCAGAGGGGAUAACACUUGGAAACAGGUGCUAAACCGAUACUGAUGGAUGGAACCGCGGUGCAUUAGCUAGUUGGGGAGGUAACGGCGCACCAAGGCCACGAGGCAUAACUGAGCGGAGAGGGUGAUCGGCAACACUGGGACUGAGAAACGGCGCAGACUCCUACGGGAGGCAGCAGUGGGGAAUCUUCGGCAAUGGACGAAAGUCUGACCGAGCAACGCCGCGUGUGUGAAGAAGGUUUUCGGAUCGUAAAACUCUUUUGUUAGAGAAGCGGUAUCUAACCAGAAAGCCCCGGCUAACUACGUGCCAGCAGCCGCGGUAAUAC